CUGCUCAUGCUCUCUUUCUCUCUCUAAAAAAAUAAUAAAAAAUAAAGUAUAUAUACUCACUAUAAUACUGUGUGGCAAUUAUGUAAGUAUUAAAUGCUAGAAAUUGCUCCCAACCUGACAUUAACUUAAGAAGUAGAAUACUGCACAUGUAGUUUGAGCUUCAGCUUUUAUGAAUAUGAGAAGAAGAAAAUGAGACAGAAAAUAUAAAUACUAACAGUGGCCAUAUAUAGGUGAUGGGUUUAUGGUUGGUUGUGAUUGAUUUUUUCCAUUUUUAUUUUCCAAACUUUCUGCAGUAACAAUAUUUACUUUUAUUUCCAAAAGAGUCAACACAAUAAAGAAGAAUAAAAAAAUUAUUCUUUUCUAAAAAAGGCUUAUGAUGCCUUUUAUCAAGGCCCUUCAAUAAAACUGUUGAAAUGGAAAUCAAAAACUAAAACCAUGUUUGGUAUUGAUGUCCCUCCAAAAUCCCCAUUACCUGGAAUUUAAUUAAACAGUAAUCUGAGUAUGCUGUGAGGAGGCUUUGAAGAUGGAGUUGAAGUUCUGAAUCCACUGACUUCUAAACACAGAGAAAGGAGGUUGAAUCUUGGAUGGCUGGCGACUUGGAGGAUGAUGAAGGGGUAGGGAGAGUUUUAUAGAAGACCUUCGACCCGCAUAGUCUCUAGGAGAAGGCGGAUGGAAAGGAAAAUCCCAGGAGGAGGAAACACAAUGGAAGGAGGAAUGUGAGAUGCAGGUGGAUUAGAAGCAGCAUCCCAGGGACAUCAGUGUGUUAAUGACUGAUGGGGAGGGGAGGUUGGAGGCAGGGGUUGGAGACUUUGAACCCCUCCAACUUUUGGGUUUUCAUAUACUUUUGGAGCCUCCAAAAGUAUAUGAAAGGGGAUCUUUGGUGGGGCAAGAGAGGAAUGGCGAGGCUAAGCCACAACACCAGGCACUGUUUUACCUUUGGAGCCACAGUGCCCCUGGCGGUGUUCCCUUACUGUCAGGACUGAGGAGAGGUCCAGGGGUGGGUGGUAGCUGACCCUGCCUCGUCCCUUUAAACCCUCACAUCUCCCCCUGAGGACAUGCAGCCAGAGCCAGGGACAAAUGCAGGUUAUCAUCUCAACUUUUUCAUGGCCUCUUCCCUAACUGCUGAUUCUGACCCAUCUGUGCUCUGUUUCUGAACUCUUUCCAUUCUCCUCUGGCUUUGACUACAUUACUCUGAUGGGUACUUACGACUUCUCUUUUGCUCUUGGACCAAUAACUCCUGGCUACAGACCGGCACCUCCUUAGUUCACACACGCCUUUGUCCACCCACAUUCCCAGGGGACCUGGAGACUCUGUAAAUAACUGGUUGAUAUUUACCAGUUAUUUCUGGCCCUAGAGUGUGUUCUGGCCCAGCAAGGUGGACCAGAUCAGGUGAAAAGCCUCAUCUGGUUCAGCCAGAAAGUGCUCAGAGACUGGGAGGAAGAGCACCAGGGAGCUUAUGCCUUCACACUGCUUCUCUUUACUUAUUUGCUCUAAAGGAAUCACUCCUCUCCCUUCUAGGUAUGAUUGCUCCGGUUCUUUUCACAUCUAUAUGGUUGGUCGUCUGCAUAUUUGAAUUACAUUAGUGAAAAAAAUUCAAAUGAACAAAUCCAAUAAUGUAAAGACUUUCAAAACUGGGCUGAGAAGUAUUCUGAAAAAUGAAUACAAAUGAUUUCACUAUAUAUAUAUUUUUGUUAAUACAGAAUACACUCAGCCUGGAAUAAUUUUUAGCUUCCCAGGGAACAUGAAGUUUGAUUAAAGAAAAAUAUAUGCGUUUAUGAAUCCAAAAGGAACACAAGUUAAAUGUGGUAAAUGCAGACAUUCUUAUGAAAGAGGAACAAAGAAAACAGAAAUCAAAUGAGAAAAUAGCCCCAGAUAUUAACAUAUGAAGAAAUAAAAUUUAAAAAAAAAGAGGCUUCUUUGCUUCUAACUCUUCUUGAAAAGUUUUAGAGUUAAGAGCAAGGGAAAAAUCCUGAGCUCAUAAAUUUAUGUUACUUGAUUACUUUUUCAAAUGUAAAACAAAGAAAAUCCUUGAGAGUAGAGAAGAUACUGGGAAAUGGGAAAUGCUUCCAUGCAGCAUUUUCUAUUUUCAAGAGAAAAAUCUCAGGCUCGGAAAGAAGUACGUAAGCAUGGAUCAAUAGCUCUGAUAUUUACCUUUCCUUGUAGAAGAGAUUACAGCAAUCUACAGUAUCCGAUUCAUUGUCUAGAUAGUACUCUGGUUGCUAGUGCUGAGGCUACAGCAUGUAACCCUAAGCAGGACUGACUUUUUAAAGGAAGAAAAGGCCAAAAAAAAAAAAAAAAAAAAAAAAAACCCAAAACCAAA